UUUUAAUAUCUAUUAAAUGACUGUGUUCGUUUCCGUAUCGAUGUUCACAUUUUUAUUUUCACCGCGCAUUGAUUGUUUCGUUGACAGUUCUGCUAAAUUACAGUUGAAGAGUCAGAGAAGGAUUGCGAGUUUCUCAGCGAUUUCUGCCUGAAAACGAAUUACAAAUAAUUCGAAAUAGGUAUACCAUAAAUACCUACACCAUGUCACGUUAUAAUCUAACAAGAUGUAUAAUACCACUAUUUGUAAUUCUACAAUUUCUAACAUUAUCAAAUUCGCAAGAACAAGAGCCAGAACUUCUGAAAGCCACCAAUGAACAAUUCAAAAAUAAACACGUUUUUAAGCCAACUAAAGUAGCUGUAGAUUACAUCAGCGCAUAUCGUCCACGUCCACCGCCACCAGUCAUAAGCGUGCUUCAAGAAGAGCCCAAGCAGGACGAAUACACGAAAAUACCAAGUACCGUAGACACAUACGAAUCUAAUGCAGCAAUCAAUUUUGAAAGUUUUUACACCAAGCAAGUUGACGAUGAAAAAGAAUACAGGUGCCUGGCAUACAACAUGAAAAUAAAAAUUAGCUUCGUAGACGCUAAGCCGGUUCAUUUUGCCAGUAAAGUCGACCCUACAGAUUUCACGAAGGCCGACUACAAAUCUGAUUGUAUAUUUUUGAAAAAUAAACUGGCAAUUCCUGGAACUUACUAUGAAAAGAGCGCAGGAGUAGAAAUCAUAGGAGAACAGGCGAGCAUUGGUUCGAGUAGUUUUAAUAAUACAGACGGGGCAGAUUUAUUGAUGGAAAUUCCUCUGAAACAAUAAUGACAGCGGGUAGUUAGAAAUGAUUGUAUAAAAUGUAAUAACACUGAAAAAGUAAAUUAUUGGAUGUGCUCGUAGAUGGGUCGGGGUACCCUUUAGAUUCUAAUUUUCUGUAUAGUUUUAGUUUCAAAUUUCAGGUACCUGUACCUACCUUCUAUUAUAAAUAUAUAUAGAUUAAAAAAGUUA